CACAGACACUGUUAGAGCCCGGGGCCAAAGCCACUGGCCAAUGACCUCACCAGUAUAGAGUGUGCUUCGUGAGAUGCAAGUUUAAGCCUCUAACACCUCAGAGGUCUCUGGGCCAGUGACAGGAAUGUGCUAGUAAUCCUUGCUACAGGG
rnacentral:snoRNA from 1 species